rnacentral:rRNA from 1 species
AUGGGCCCUCAAAAUCCAUCAAUGCAUGGUGUUCUUCGACUGAUCGUUACUCUCGAUGGUGAGGAUAUUGUUGAUUGUGAACCCAUAUUAGGCUAUUUAAAGAGAGGAAUGGAAAAAAGCACGGAAAACCGAACUAUUAUACAAUACUUACCUUAUGAAACAAGGAUAUAG